rnacentral:lncRNA from 1 species
CUCGAUCCUGGCAUUUGGAGAGCCUUCUCCACUCAAGGUAAAUACAAGGUUGAUUGCACCGUUUGAUUUCCAGCAUACCACGUCUCUGGUAUUUAUGAGUACAGUCUGAAAGAAUGAAAAGAGUGCAAAAGACAGAGGAGGCCAUCCAGUUCCUAAGCACCUUUGUACACAAGAGAAAAAAGAAGUGGUAGUAAGUGCGCUUGUGCCAAAUUCCACCAUGAAGACACGUUCCUCUUUUGGAGAUCACAUUCUUUUCUUGCUUGAUAAGAAUCAGGAGAACUGACGGUUAUCGAAUGCCUACUACGAGCUAAGCAAUUUACAGACAUUCCUUGUUAACUUUUCACAACCAAGUCAAGGAAAUGCUGUUAUUGUAUCCAUUUUCAGAUUAAGAAACUGAAGUCAAGAAGAUUAAGGGGGGAAAAAAACCCCUUCAUUUGGUGGUACUGGACAGUUGGUGGCAGAUUUAAAUAUGUUGUGUACAACGACAAAACCAGAAUUCUUCCCAUUAUAUGUGGUUGUUCUAGCAAUGUCAACUGGGAGCUUUAAUGUCCCCUCUUGCUGCUGAUUAUCAAAAUGUAAUAAUUUUAUGCACCCCCCCCACACACACACACCCCACACAGACACACACCCCACACACAUACACAUUUGUGCUCAGCUCAGUGGUCAAGUGCAGGAACUCUGGAAUGAAACCCAAAUACUAACCCUGACUCUGCCCAGUGGACAAGGCACCCAGGCACUCUCUGACCCGGUUUCUAUUUUGUGAAAGUUAUACCAAUAGUGUUCAUAUCCUGGCUCAGGAACGGUGGUGUCUGGAGGAACACUGACUCAAUUUUAUAAAGGGAAGAGUUAUCCCAGUCUAGGAUUAAAAAUAAACCCAAUGAAGAUCUCCAAAUUGUCAUAUUGUCCUCUUGCAUUAGAAUAAAAAUUUACUAAAAUUUUAAGAGUAAAGUAAAAACUGGGGUUGUGAAUAUUUUAAACAUUAUGCAAAUAUUAGUCCUAACUGAUAUAUCAAUAAGGGUACAAUUUUUGAGUAAUAUUGUUUGUUCAGUGCUCCUGGAAAUGUUUAGACAAUGGAAAUUUAGUGCCAAGGAGGUCAAGAUUCAAAUGUAAGUCUACUUAUAGGACAGGUAGUUUUAUUUCUGCUCCAUGCCCAGGGAUUCCCUAAUCCCUAUAUAAUGAGUAUCAUGGGCCAUCCAGGCUCCCUGAAUUAGAAAAAAAAAUGUAUACUCUACAAAACACAUGACUUACUGAGAAUCAGGGAGUAGUUCAGUCAUGAACUGGAAUGUGAUCCUUUUAUUGUUGUGAUUAAAAAUUCUAAUUUGACACUGAUUCUCAGCAUUUACAAAGGACGGGGUUCUGACCCAUGGUGCAACGUGGAUAAACCUGGAGGAUUACCCUGUGUGAAAUAAGCCUCUCACCAAAGGACAAACACUGCAUG